AACGCACCUUGCGCCCUUUGGUAUUCCGAAGGGCAUGCCUGUUUGAGUGUCAUUAAAUUAUCAACCUUGUUCGCUUUUACGAGCUUGAGCGAGGCUUGGAUGUGAGGGCUUGCUGGCUUCCUUCAGUGGAUGGUCUGCUCCCUUUAAAUGCAUUAGUGGGAUCUCUUGUGGACCGUCACUUGGUGUGAUAAUUAUCUAUGCCAUUUGACUGUGAAGCAAAAUUAUGGGAACCUGCUUACAACCGUCUCGCAAGGGACAAUUUAAUUGACUAUUUGACCUCAAAUCAGGUAGGACUACCCGCUGAACUUAA
rnacentral:misc_RNA from 1 species